AACAGAGGUCUCAAGCGUUGUUCGGAUUCAUUGGGCGUAAAGGGUGUGUAGGUGGCGCCGUAAGUCGGGUGUGAAAUCUCGGGGCUUAACUCCGAAACUGCAUUCGAUACUGCGGUGCUUGAGGACUGGAGAGGAGACUGGAAUUCAUGGUGUAGCAGUGAAAUGCGUAGAGAUCAUGAGGAAGACCAGUGGCGAAGGCGGGUCUCUGGACAGUUCCUGACACUGAGACACGAAGGCCAGGGGAGCAAACGGG
rnacentral:rRNA from 1 species